rnacentral:rRNA from 1 species
AGCGAACGCUGGCGGCAGGCCUAACACAUGCAAGUCGAACGCACCUUCGGGUCUAGUGGCGCACGGGUGCGUAACGCGUGGGAAUCUGCCCUUGGGUUCGGAACAACAGUUGGAAACGACUGCUAAUACCGGAUGAUGACUUCGGUCCAAAGAUUUAUCGCCCAAGGAUGAGCCCGCGUAGGAUUAGCUUGUUGGUGAGG